AAUCUUGCCACAAGGAUGCUGGAUUCACUCUGCCCUGUCACAGCACUGAAACCAAGGAGCUGAAAGCCCAGCUCCAGCAUCUGUUGGCUCAUUUUGAUAUUGACUACAACCUUAAAGAUCUCAAGGACCCAGCUGAUGAGAUGGAGCUCUUUUAUUUGGUUGUCCAAAAAUUUAGGAGCAUCUUCUGCAAACAGCAGACAAUGAGAACAUUUCCAGUUUAUGACACAGAGAUUUCUAGAUUGGAGAAGUGGGGCAUGUCAGAUCCAACCAGGGCUUUGAAAAAGAGAGCUAACUGGAUCCCUUUUAUAAAGAUUAAGCCUAAAGUAGAUCCCUGGCAGCAAAAGCUUUUGAUAAAAAUGAAACAAUGGAAAAAAGUGAAUAAGAUGAUGGACAUUCAUUCAAAAUUUGUAGAGGUCUCAGACAUGGAGAGGGUGAUGGAGGGUCUCCAGGAUCAUGCAGCAGCGGUGCUCAAACCACAUCCUUUGCGGUCAGCUUCUGCCACUUGUUCUCAUGCCUCAGGACAGCAGAGCUACGAUCACAUCUGGAAGGAAGUCUACGCCUUCACUGAGCAUCACCAGGAAUUAAACACUGAGGAUGAUAACGCAGCCAUGGCUUGCAGUGGGGAAGGUGCAGGAGAAAGCAGCUCCAGAAAGCUCCCAGGAUCCUACAGAAAGAAGAAUGAAAGAGGGUAUGGUUGCAUGAGCACCUGGCAGCUUCUGGGGCUAGAAGAAGGACCAGUGAUUGCCAACAAGGAAGACGUGGUGAUGAGAGGAACCUAUCUUUCCUUUCUUCUCCUACAUCACUUGAGGCUCCGAGAGCUAAAGAGAGUGUGCCUGGGAAUCCUGAACUACUUCAGGUCUGUGGAGAGAAGCCUUACUAUUAGUACUGCAGGCCUCUCCCUCAAGGCUGGUCCUCUGAUUCCCAGCGCAGAAGACACCUCUUGGAUCAGUGCUGCUAAAGGAGGCACUGGUGCUUCUGGUGGCUUGCGCUCUCAGCCCUACGUUCACUACACACCAGCUGACUACAAGGUCCACAGCACUCAGUUCAUGGAGUUUGCAGAGGUGGAAAACCAUGAUGACUUUCACACUUGUGAAGAUGGAUAUAUCCACACGCAGGACCAGCGUGGGGCUUACAUCAUAUAUGAUGUAGCACUGGAGGACCUAAAGGAGCUUGAGAACCAGUUGCUGCUUGUGGCCAGCCAGUACAUUGAGAAAGAUAAAAGUAAGUUAUCUACUGGUCCAAACCACGUGGGAUAA
rnacentral:lncRNA from 1 species